rnacentral:rRNA from 1 species
GCCACACUGGGACUGAGACACGGCCCAGACUCCUACGGGAGGCAGCAGUGGGGAAUUUUGGACAAUGGGCGCAAGCCUGAUCCAGCCAUGCCGCGUGUCUGAAGAAGGCCUUCGGGUUGUAAAGGACUUUUGUCAGGGAAGAAAAGGCUGUUGCUAAUAUCGACAGCUGAUGACGGUACCUGAAGAAUAAGCACCGGCUAACUACGUGCCAGCAGCCGCGGUAAUACGUAGGGUGC